UAGAGCUUUCUCAUUCUCUCUUACCCCUGAUUAGUAUUAGGAUUUCAGUGGUAGCUUGUACAUUGAACGUUCAUUUGGCAUCCAUAUAAAAUUCAACAAGUUGACAAGAUGGCCUAGUGACAUUGAAAACAUCAACAUUCACAAGCAGCUCACUAAGAUAAUUGAUGUACAUGUAAUAACAUGUAUAUGUGAUAUAAAAAAAUGCCAUCAUGAUGUUGAUUGCGACAAGGUUGAUAUCUAGAAAUAAUGCAAGAGCAAAGCUUUUUUGUUCUGUUUACGAACAUUGCAAGGAUAAGCCGGUACAGACGUUACACAAAUGAUUUAACAUGUUCAUAAAAAGAUUUAUUUGUAUUUUAGUUAAAAAGUACUUGUUAUAGAUUGUCAAUACAUUGCAUAAAUGAUUACCCAAUU
rnacentral:misc_RNA from 1 species